rnacentral:rRNA from 1 species
CGCGCAGGCGGAUCUGCCAGUCUGUCUUAAAAGUUCGGGGCUUAACCCCGUGAUGGGAUGGAAACUACAGAUCUAGAGUAUCGGAGAGGAAAGUGGAAUUCCUAGUGUAGCGGUGAAAUGCGUAGAUAUAUGGAAGAACACCAGUGGCGAAGGCGGCCUUCUGGACUGUAACUGACGUUGAGGCUCGAAAGUGUGGGUAGCAAACA